rnacentral:lncRNA from 1 species
UCUUUCUUAUAUCAUAGUUGAUCUCGUAUCGUAGUAUGGAGUUAUCUGCUGAGACCUUGAAACCAUUGGACGUUAUUAUGGUCAUGUGAGCAUUUGACUAACAAAGUAACAAGUCACAACCCACUUUAAGGUGGGGCUAGAUAUGCAGAUCUUGCUCUGGUUCGAGGUCAGUCAUUUUCACCUAUUUUCCUGCUUUCUGACUAAGAAAACUUCUUAAAAAAAAUACAAGUCCAGCUAUCACUAUGAGUCUAUGACUUCAUUGACUUGUGAGGAUUUCAUUGGAGCUAUCAAUCCUGGUACAAUGCAGCUACAGGAAUGCGGACUGGAUCUUAAUAGAACCGUAACAAUUGAAUAUCUACGUUAUGAUCUCGUUGAUGAAAGAGACUUGGCAUGCUCACAUGAUGCUACGUCAUGCUUCGUUUAGUGAACAAAAGAAGAAGCAAAUGGUCAAAAGAGUUAAGAAGAAACUCGGACCUAAACCUAAUCUGGUAAAAAAGUUGUACUGUUUAAUCAAUAGCAUUUCAAUUAACUAGUAUAUAGUAUUUUAUUUAAUAAAUUUCUUAUGAUUAAAACUAGCAAAUUUCUUCUUCGUUUCUUUUGGGGCAUUAAUUUUGAAGAUAUUAGAAUCUUUGAUCAUUUGAUGGGUUGUCUCUCUGAUAUAGGCACAGCCCUGGGUAUGCACUAUGCAGCUGAAACCCUAUAACACCUGCUGAGCUCAAUGAAGCUUGCAAGGCUGUGACUGGCUCAUCUGUCAGCAGUCAUCUUGUUGAUAUCCUUUCACAAUUUUUGAUAUAAAU